rnacentral:rRNA from 1 species
GGAGACAGGUGCUGCAUGGCUGUCGUCAGCUCGUGUCGUGAGAUGUGGUUAAGUCCCGCAACGAGCGCAACCCUUGUCUUUAGUUGCCAUCAUUCAGUUGGGCACUCUAAAGAGACUGCCGGUGUCAAACCGGAGGAAGGUGGGGAUGACGUCAAGUCCUCAUGGCCUUUAUGACCAGGGCUACACACGUACUACAAUGGCCGGUACAAAGGGCAGCCACUUAGCGAUAAGGAGCCAAUCCCGUAAAGCCGGUCUCAGUCCGGAUUGGAGCCUGCAACUCGACUCCAUGAAGUUGGAAUCGCUAGUAAUCGCAGAUCAGCACGCUGCGGUGAAUACGUUCCCGGGCCUU